CACACGCCACCGUGAGCGGACCCCGGGGGACCGAGGCGGGGCGGGGCCGGGGCCGGGGGCGGGGGCGGGGCCCCGGGGUGGUCCGGGCGCGUCACUCCCGGCUCCCGGCUCCCGGCUCCCCGCUCCCCGCUCCCCGCGCGCGCCGGGAAUCGCACCCGAGCUUGCAGCCCUGCAAUUCCGCGGAGGGCGCCCCGCACCUGGCCCCAGAGCUUCAGGCCCCGGGGACCCAAGGGGCGUGGAGGGUGCGGGGCGCGCGGCGGGAAGGCAGCGGGGGCCCCGCGGUGCAGGGCGCCCCCCUCCGCCCGGAGGCCCUCCCGCCCCUGACCGAGUCGCGGCGCCCCGGGGACCGGCCGCGGGCGGGGCGCGAGGCGGGCGGCCGCAGCCCCCGACCCUACCUCAUGGCCGCGGAGCCUCUGCGGGCGGCGGCGGCGGCGGCGGCCGGGCCUGGGGCGGCGCGGGCUGCGCGGGCUGCAGCGGCCGUCGCCUCAUUCCAUGUCCCAUCCUCGAAUGUUAUCCUGUGACAUGGACCCGAGUCACCCGGGCGGCCGCCGACGUUCCGAACGCGUCCAUUGGCCACCGCAACAAAGAGGGGCGGGCCCCGCGCUCGGGACUCCGCGGCCGCGAGCUCCGCGCGCUCUGAUUGGCUCCGCGGGUUCCCGGGCCGGAGGGGCGGGGCGCGGGGGGAGCCCGGCGGCGGCGCGGAGUCCCGGGGUGGCGUGUCCUGGCGGCCCCCGCGGGGCGGAGCGCUGGUCCCGGGGCCUGAGGCCGGGAGCGGGGCGCUGCGAGGGUCUGCAGGUGUGCAGCGCAGGGCGGAAACGAAGCCGCCCCCAGAUGAUCUUGGAGAUGGUAAUUUGCCACAACCUUGAAGGAAACUUCAUGACUGAAGAGAUUUGUAUCUUUCUUGGAAAAAGGGGCAGGCAUCGGAUACAUUGGUCAAGAGGAUGCUAGCUGUUGUAACAGGGAGAUCCUGAAAUCACAGCCGCUUAAUUCAGUAAGACUUCACGCUUCUGUCACGUAGUCUAACAGCAUGGGGACGGAGGUGGAGUGCUGUGCUCUACGCAAUGACGUAGGAUGCCAAAGGCUCUGUCACCCUCGAGGAAGGCCAGGACUUUGACAUCCAACUGGCACACAUGCUGGGAGAGUGGAGGAUCACAGGGGAGUCUUUCAUGGGCCAGGUCAGGAAUGGCAUCACUUAGCACCCAUUCCACUGGCCAGAACUUAGCACCCAUGACACGAGGGGGCCUCUAGUGCCUGGCCUCCAGGGGUCUUCUUAGCUGGCAAGGUCUGUCUCCUGGUCUCAGGCCCCCAGAACCUAUGGUGGUUAUCCCGUUUGGGAUGGGCCCUGGGACUACUACGCAUGUGUAGGGCUCCCCCCUCUUGUCUCCUUCCUCUCUGACCUUCUCCAGUUACUUUCCUCCAAUUCCUGUUCUCUCUCCAGUGGCUCCUAGACUCUGUUGAAUUCCUGCGGUUGGAGAAAGGUUAAUUGUUUGGCCAUUGAGGGCUUUGGUGGAGAGGUGCUCUAGGGAUUCAGUGACAAAGGAUGUUGGGGGCGGGGGGUGUCAGCAGAGGAGCCUUCCAGCGAGAGCUGUGGCCACCUCCACCUGCUUCUGAAAUCAGAGAGUUUUAUCCCAGGCCACUGGGUUCCCAGGGACCUGAGAGAGCUCUGAGUCCCGGACUGUCCCCUGAAACAGCAGCAACCAUAUCACCUAGGAACCUGUUAGAAAUGCUCCUCAGCCCCUACCUUAGACCUGCUAAACCAGAAAACAGCUCAGAAAGAUUGGUAACCUACCCAAAGUCACACAGCUAGUAAGAAGCAGGACCAAAAUGUUUGAACAAGCCUUCGGGUGAUUCUGGUGCACACAAGUCUGAGAAUCCCGGCUGCGGGAUGCAGCAGCAGGACGCUGCAGGUAGGAGAGUGUCACACUGUCACCCAGUGGCUGCAGAACAAACAGCAGCCCAGCCUCCAUCUCUGGACCAACUCUGGCUGAGGACACAGCAGUGCUAAUAUGUCGAUCAAGAAGCAAGUUCUGGAAAGCACAGGGGAAUCCACAGGUGUAGCAAGGGCCUCACCGAAGUCUAGCCUCACGGAUGGUUGUUAAGACUUAGCCUAGAGUCCAGGCCAGAGCCAAACCCAAAUUCUGUUGCUAGAAGGCCAAACCCACCUGCAUUUAUAUUUCAUGGGGACCAGGCAUAGCUGGCUGGAGAGGCCUCUAUGGCCAAACUGAUGACCCCAUCAGGGGCAGGCUCCAUCAUCCUCACAGGGAACCAGAAGCAGCAGGGAUCCGUCAUCUCGGAGAGGGCACAGGACUCCACCCGGGACCCUGCCAACUAGGCCCCUGAGGCCCCAGGGCUCCCCUGCUCUGGCACUCCACU
rnacentral:lncRNA from 1 species